CAUAAAUCGAUGAGUAAGAAGAGUAAAUAUUGGUGAAUGUCACAGAGAGUUAGACAAUGGUGGGAGUCUAAUACAGGAACCUUUAUCGAAUGGGCUUACGAGAGGCAUCUUGAACAGUAAAGUAGGGAUGCACGGAUUUCCACCGUUAAAAGGAUAGGGUAUCGGAAUUAUAUGCAACUAAUUCUCGUAUCCGAAAAGUGGGAUUCAGUUAAAUCUGAUCCAAUCUGAGGUGGUACCGCGGUAGCAACUAAUCGUCCUCUAU
rnacentral:ncRNA from 1 species